rnacentral:rRNA from 1 species
GUGGGGAAUCUUAGACAAUGGGGGAAACCCUGAUCUAGCCAUGCCGCGUGAUCGAUGAAGGCCUUAGGGUUGUAAAGAUCUUUCGCUGGGGAAGAUAAUGACUGUACCCAGUAAAGAAGCCCCGGCUAACUCCGUGCCAGCAGCCGCGGUAAUACGGAGGGGGCUAGCGUUAUUCGGAAUUACUGGGCGUAAAGCGCACGUAGGCGGACUGGAAAGUUGGGGGUGAAAUCCCGGGGCUCAACCUCGGAACUGCCUUCAAAACUCCCAGUCUUGAGUUCGAGAGAGGUGAGUGGAAUUCCGAGUGUAGAGGUGAAAUUCGUAGAUAUUCGGAAGAACACCAGUGGCGAAGGCGACUCACUGGCCCAAUACUGACGCUGAGGCGCGAAAGCGUGGGGAGCAAACAGGAUUAGAAACCCGUGUAGUCC